rnacentral:misc_RNA from 1 species
AAGUCGUAACAAGGUUUCCGUAGGUGAACCUGCGGAAGGAUCAUUAAAGAUUCGACCUUCGGGUCUAUCUUAUCUUCAGCUGUGCGCUUUUGCUGCACGCUGUUGAACCUCACACACCUGUGCACACUUCGGUUGCGGUUAGUUAACUCUAGCUGCUCCCGCUUUUACAUUUAACUACUAAGUCUUGAAUGUCAAUACAAUAAAAUAACAA